UGGGGAAUUUUGGACAAUGGGCGAAAGCCUGAUCCAGCAAUGCCGCGUGUGUGAAGAAGGCCUUCGGGUUGUAAAGCACUUUUGUCCGGAAAGAAAUCCUUGGCUCUAAUACAGUCGGGGGAUGACGGUACCGGAAGAAUAAGCACCGGCUAACUACGUGCCAGCAGCCGCGGUAAUACGUAGGGUGCAAGCGUUAAUCGGAAUUACUGGGCGUAAAGCGUGCGCAGGCGGUUUGCUAAGACCGAUGUGAAAUCCCCGGGCUCAACCUGGGAACUGCAUUGGUGACUGGCAGGCUAGAGUAUGGCAGAGGGGGGUAGAAUUCCACGUGUAGCAGUGAAAUGCGUAGAGAUGUGGAGGAAUACCGAUGGCGAGGGCAGCCCCCUGGGCCAAUACUGACGCUCAUGCACGAAAGCGUGGGGAGCAAACAGGAUUAGAUACCCUGGUAGUCCACGCCCUAAACGAUGUCAACUAGUUGUUGGGGAUUCAUUUCCUUAGUAACGUAGCUAACGCGUGAAGUUGACCGCCUGGGGAGUACGGUCGCAAGAUU
rnacentral:rRNA from 1 species